GUCGUGUUUGUGUGCGUAUAGCGCGAGUUGAGGAGGUUUUUAAGGUUAGCUGUCCAGCCCACAACUUUACUAUUUUGGCUCACUAUCACUACUCUAACAGCAGUCGUUGUCUACCGCAGCAGGACGGCUUAAUCAAGAAAUCGUUGUUGGUGGUCAACUCCUCAGCUGUCUCAAAGAUGUGCUUCCAGUGUGGUUUUCCUGUCGUUGCUGUGGGACUCUGAAGUUGACUCUUCAAAAAUAAAUGCCAAGCUAAGAACUUCCUGCCAAAUGCUGCUGACUGAGACCUCUGCUGACCUCACCAGGAAAAAAAAUAUCAGCACCAUCUAGUGGAUCGAAAAUGCAAUUGAUUUUAUUAUUCUAGUGCCAUUGUAUUAAAAUGUGUACUUGCAAAAACGAAUGAUGUAAGCUAUAUAAUAAAAGAUCAAUACUUUGUCCCUUUACCGAUACAGUA